AUAUGAGUUUUGUUUUGGAAAAAGAAUAAGGAAAGAGAAAAGAAAAAAAAAAUUAUAUUAUUAUUAUUUUCUUUAAAUAGGUCUUGAAGAGCGUGCAAAGAAACAAGAGAUUAUUCAUCUUCUUCUUCCUAGCAAACCCUAACCACCGCCAACACUUCCAGUCGAUGCCCAAUCGUCGUACAUUCCUUCCGUCACACGUAGCUUCCCAUCGAGCCUCUUCGUCCUGUGUCGUGCGUCAUCGGUCGAAGCUCAGCCGCAAAGUAGUCUGUCGUCCCCUUACCGCACCAUUCAUCGUUCGUCUCUCUGAUUAAGCUUAGCCUUCAAACGUUGCAAGUCACGCACCGGUUAGCAACCAUCGUCAGCCGUCGUUUGAAACGUCAUUUCCUCUGUUGUCUCUGUGUCGAUCUACCCUUGCCGAGCCGAACUCCACAGAUCCAAGCCACACGCGAACUUCGAGCAGUCUCACACGCUGAUUCUUCGUGAGUUGCAUAAUCGAGUCAUCACCCCUUCGCGAGCUGCGCGCGAGCCGUCGUCCCUUCCAAACCACACACGUAGACGUCCAAGCCGCGUUUCCUCUUUGGUUGAGCCGCCAAGCCAUUUUUCAAGCCAUCAACUUUUUUUUUUUUUUUUUUUUGUUCUUCUCCCACCUAUUUUGGUAAGUUUCAAUGGGUUUUGGUUAAUGCCCAAAAAAUAUUAAUUUUGGACCCUAAAUAUUAUUUUCAUGAAGGCUCGGUUACCCAAUCAAGGUUGAAUCCAAUUCAACCUCACUUUGAGUAAGUUGAAUUAAUAGGAUUUUUGGAUCUUUAAGUAAUUGUUAAUUAAUUUAUUGAACUUAGUAUUUUCCUUUACUAUUUAGGACUUAUUCUUGGAAAGUUUGACUGUUGCUGACAGUAAUAGUUUGGUUAAACUAAUCUCUUCUACUAGACCCUCGUAAUGAAGAUAAGAGUUUGGAUGAGAUUUUCCUAUUAUGCAUUUAUGUAGCUAAAAUGCAUAAUGUAUCGAUGAUGAUUGAUAGUUAUAACUGAGUUGUGUUGAUGAUGAUGACUGAUAGUUAUGACUGAGUUAUGUUGAUGAUGAUAAUUGAUGAUGUUAAUGUUAAUGCAUGAAAUGUAAAUCUCAUGAUUUAGAACGUUAUGAUUAAUACUCAUACCAUGUUUAUGAUGUUAUGAUGUGUUAUAUGAUAUGGAUAGGGUGUUUUGUUAACUUUAUCUAUUAGAGUCGUACCCCUAUGGGUGUCCCUCGGGAUCACCAUUUUUUUAUGACUGUGUGGUCUACGGGAUCACUUACAAUCCAAUUGUCUUAAGUGUUCUUUUGAGAUCACCAAAGACCAUAGAUGUUUCUAUGGGAUCAUUAGAUUGCGUGUGUUCGGGAACGCGCCAGUUUAGGGGCAGAGGUAGAGGUAAGGGCAGACGAAAGCUGGCGAAUGACAAGAAGUGACCAUGAACAUGUCGUAGGGAAACUUUUUGCUUCCGCUUUUACUUUACAGUUAUGUUUUCAGUAUUUUUGUGUUCUUUGACUAUAUUCUUUGAAAGUAGAUAAGGUUCGAAUUAUGAGUUUGUUUUAAA